rnacentral:rRNA from 1 species
CUUCUCUUCGGAGUCCGGAACACAGGUGCUGCAUGGCUGUCGUCAGCUCGUGUCGUGAGAUGUUGGGUUAAGUCCCGCAACGAGCGCAACCCCCGUCCUUAGUUGCUACCAUUUAGUUGAGCACUCUAAGGAGACUGCCGGUGAUAAGCCGCGAGGAAGGUGGGGAUGACGUCAAGUCCUCAUGGCCCUUACGGGCUGGGCUACACACGUGCUACAAUGGCGGUGACAAUGGGAAGCGAAGACGCAAGUCCUAGCAAAUCUCAAAAAGCCGUCUCAGUUCGGAUUGGGCUCUGCAACUCGAGCCCAUGAAGUUGGAAUCGCUAGUAAUCGUGGAUCAGCACGCCACGGUGAAUACGUUCCCGGGCCUUGUACACACCGCCCGUCACACCAUGGGAGUUGGCUUUACCUGAAGACGGUGCGCUAACCAGCAAUGGAGGCAGCCGGCCACGGUAGGGUCAGCGACUGGGGUGAAGUCGUAACAAGGUAGCCGUAGGGGAACC